CCUACGGGAGGCAGCAGUGGGGAAUAUUGCACAAUGGGGGGAACCCUGAUGCAGCAACGCCGCGUGGGUGAAGAAGUACUUCGGUAUGUAAAGCCCUGUCAGCAGGGAAGAAAAUGACGGUACCUGACCAAGAAGCCCCGGCUAACUACGUGCCAGCAGCCGCGGUAAUACGUAGGGGGCAAGCGUUAUCCGGAUUUACUGGGUGUAAAGGGAGCGUAGACGGCAAGGCAAGUCUGGAGUGAAAGCCCGUGGCUCAACCACGGGACUGCUUUGGAAACUGUGUUGCUGGAGUGCAGGAGGGGUAAGCGGAAUUCCUAGUGUAGCGGUGAAAUGCGUAGAUAGUAGGAGGAACACCGGUGGCGAGGGCGGCUUACUGGACUGUAACUGACGUUGAGGCUCGAAGGCGUGGGGAGCAAACAGGAGUAGAUACCCUGGUAGUC
rnacentral:rRNA from 1 species